rfam:Salmo salar isolate Sally breed double haploid chromosome ssa19, whole genome shotgun sequence.
CGCACACAUGACUGUUAGUCGCUUUGGUUAAAAGUGUCUACUAAAUGGCAUAUU